CAGCGAUAAGGGGACCUUGAGUGCCAGGAUACAAUCCUGGCUGUCGUGAUGCCUAAAAAGCAUUAUAUAGCAAGGGCCGGGCAAGACCGGUGCCAGCCGCCGCGGUAACACCGGCGGCUCGAGUGGUAACCGCUAUUAUUGGGUCUAAAGGGUCUGUAGCCGGCUUGGUUAGUCUCUUGGGAAAUCCGGCAGCUUAACUGUCGGGCUUUCAGGAGAUACUGCCAGGCUCGAGACCGGGAGAGGUGAGAGGUACUUCAUGGGUAGGGGUGAAAUCUUGUAAUCCUUGAAGGACCACCAGUGGCGAAGGCGUCUCACCAGAACGGAUCUGACGGCAAGGGACGAAAGCUAGGGGCACGAACCGGAUUAGAUACCCGGGUAGUCCUAGCCGUAAACGAUACUCGCUAGGUGUCGGCCACGGUGCGACCGUGGUCGGUGCCGUAGGGAAGCCGUGAAGCGAGCCACCUGGGAAGUACGGCCGCAAGGCUGAAACUUAAAGGAAUUGGCGGGGGAGCAC
rnacentral:rRNA from 1 species